rnacentral:rRNA from 1 species
CAGCACUAAGUCACUUUGUCUUUAUGGCAAAUGUGAGAUGCAGUGUAUGGAAUGUUCAAUUUCUAGUAUGAGAAAUUAACGAUUUAAGUCCUUCUUAAAUGAGGCCAUUUACCCAAAGAGGGUGCCAGGCCCGUAUAACGUUAAUGAUUACUAGAGAACAUUUCCAAAGAGUCGUGUUGCUUGAUAGUGCAGCACUAAGUGGGUGGUAAACUCCAUCUAAAACUAAAUAUAACCAUGAGACCGAUAGUAAACAAGUACCGUGAGGGAAAGUUGAAAAGAACUCUGAAUAGAGAGUUAAAUAGUACGUGAAACUGCUUAGAGGUUAAGCCCGAUGAACCUGAAUAUCCAUUAUGGAAAAUUCAUCAUUAAGAUUGUGAUAUGAAUAAUAUUAUAAUAAUGGUGUGCAUUUUUUCCAUAUAAGGACAUUGUAAUCUAUUAAUAUGCAAUUAUUUAUCAUAAGAUCAAUAACUUUAGUUUAUUCAAAUUAUUUUGCUUGCAAUUUAACAUAGAAUAAAUGUUGUCGAUUUGAUAAAGUGUUGAUAGAUUUAUUAUAUAUAGUGCUUGAAUAUUUAUAUUCUAUGAUAGCAUGAUAAUCAUUGAUUUUUGUGUUUAUUAUAUGCGCUUAUAUGAUUAACAAUGCGAAAGAUUCAGGAUACCUUCGGGACCCGUCUUGAAACACGGACCAAGGAGUCUAACAUAUUUGCAAGUUAUUGGGAAUUAAAAAC